rnacentral:tRNA from 1 species
GCCUCUAUAGUUCAGUUGGUCUAGAACGCUAGAUUUGUAAUCUUGAAACCUCGGUUCGAAUCCGAGUAGAGGCUCA